rnacentral:misc_RNA from 1 species
GUGAAUCAUCGAAUCUUUGAACGCAAAUUGCGCUCUUGGUAUUACCGGGAGCAUGUUUGUCUGAGUGUCAUUUAAAUAACCUCACCUCUUUGGUUUGAAAAAAUCAAAACGGUGGAUAUGAGGCGGUCACGGACCUUUGUCAUUCAAAGUUCGCGUCCCUUCAAAUUGCGAGACGCGCAAAAAUUAAGCCUUGCUUUUUCAACAUGGCUUACGCUCAAACUCUAGGUGUGACAAUUUGCUCGAAUGCGUAGCACUUUUUAAACGCCGCGAGUCGGGUGUGAGUCGAGAAAGCGUGUCUUU